GACGAACGCUGGCGGCGUGCCUAAUACAUGCAAGUAGAACGCUGAAGGAGGAGCUUGCUCUUCUGGAUGAGUUGCGAACGGGUGAGUAACGCGUAGGUAACCUGCCUGGUAGCGGGGGAUAACUAUUGGAAACGAUAGCUAAUACCGCAUAACAGUAGAUGUUGCAUGACAUUUACUUAAAAGGUGCAAUUGCAUCACUACCAGAUGGACCUGCGUUGUAUUAGCUAGUUGGUGGGGUAACGGCUCACCAAGGCGACGAUACAUAGCCGACCUGAGAGGGUGAUCGGCCACACUGGGACUGAGACAAGGCCCAGACUCCUACGGGAGGCAGCAGUAGGGAAUCUUCGGCCAUGGACGGAAGUCUGACCGAGCAACGCCGCGUGAGUGAAGAAGGUUUUCGGGUCGUAAAGCUCUGUUGUAAGAGAAGAACGAGUGUGAGAGUGGAAAGUUCACACUGUGACGGUAUCUUACCAGAAAGGGACGGCUAACUACGUG
rnacentral:rRNA from 1 species